UACGUAGGGCGCAAGCGUUAUCCGGAAUUAUUGGGCGUAAAGCGCGUGUAGGCGGCCAGAAAAGUCCGCUGUGAAAACUCGAGGCUCAACUUCGAGCUGUCGGUGGAAACUUUCUGGCUAGAGUCCGGAAGAGGAGAAUGGAAUUCCUGGUGUAGCGGUGAAAUGCGCAGAUAUCAGGAAGAACACCCGUGGCGAAGGCGGUUCUCUGGGACGGUACUGACGCUGAGACGCGAAAGCGUGGGGAGCGAACAGG
rnacentral:rRNA from 1 species